AGUGAACGCUGGCGGUAGGCCUAACACAUGCAAGUCGAACGGCAGCACAGUAAGAGCUUGCUCUUACGGGUGGCGAGUGGCGGACGGGUGAGGAAUACAUCGGAAUCUACUUUUUCGUGGGGGAUAACGUAGGGAAACUUACGCUAAUACCGCAUACGACCUACGGGUGAAAGCAGGGGAUCUUCGGACCUUGCGCGUUUGAAUGAGCCGAUGUCGGAUUAGCUAGUUGGCGGGGUAAAGUCCCACCAAGGCGACGAUCCGUAGCUGGUCUGAGAGGAUGAUCAGCCACACUGGAACUGAGACACGGUCCAGACUCCUACGGGAGGCAGCAGUGGGGAAUAUUGGACAAUGGGCGCAAGCCUGAUCCAGCCAUACCGCGUGGGUGAAGAAGGCCUUCGGGUUGUAAAGCCCUUUUGUUGGGAAAGAAAAGCAGCAGGUUAAUACCCCGCUGUUCUGACGGUACCCAAAGAAUAAGCACCGGCUAACUUCGUG
rnacentral:rRNA from 1 species